CGGACGGGUGAGUAACACGUGGGCAACCUACCUGUGAGACGGGGAUAACUCCGGGAAACCGGGGCUAAUACCGGAUAACGCAUCGAACCGCAUGGUUCGAUGAUCAAAGAUGGCUUCUCGCUAUCACUCACAGAUGGGCCCGCGGCGCAUUAGUUAGUUGGUGAGGUAACGGCUCACCAAGGCGACGAUGCGUAGCCGACCUGAGAGGGUGAUCGGCCACACUGGGACUGAGACACGGCCCAGACUCCUACGGGAGGCAGCAGUAGGGAAUCAUCCGCAAUGGACGCAAGUCUGACGGUGCAACGCCGCGUGAGCGAUGAAGGUCUUCGGAUCGUAAAGCUCUGUUGUGAGGGAAGAACAAGUGCCGUUCGAAUAGGGCGGCACCUUGACGGUACCUCACCAGAAAGCCCCGGCUAACUACGUGCCAGCAGCCGCGGUAAUACGUAGGGGGCAAGCGUUGUCCGGAAUUAUUGGGCGUAAAGCGCGCGCAGGCGGUUCCUUAAGUCUGAUGUGAAAGGCCACAGCUCAACUGUGGA
rnacentral:rRNA from 1 species